rnacentral:rRNA from 1 species
GACCCCAGAGCCUUCGGGCCAUCGACCAUGACCCCAGGUCAGGCGGGACUACCCGCUGAGUUUAA